rnacentral:antisense_RNA from 1 species
CUUCAACGACCCCAACCACAACGGCCGAGCGGCAUCCCGAUCUCGGCCGUACGUGGCCAUCAGCGCCUGCGCCUC